GCCGGAGUGGCGGAAUUGGCAGACGCUGCGGACUUAAAAUCCGUUGCCCUUGUGGUGUGGGGGUUCGAGUCCCCCCUCCGGCA
rnacentral:tRNA from 1 species